rfam:Ricinus communis cultivar Hale ctg_1100012359869, whole genome shotgun sequence.
UUUGAGGGGAAUGUUGUCUGGCUCGAGGUCACUAAUUAGAUCUAUGAUUUUAUUUUUGCUUUUAAGAUAGAUCGUUGAUCGUAUUGUUAGUGACGUCGGACCAGGCUUCAUUCCCCCCAAU